rnacentral:rRNA from 1 species
AUUGAACGCUGGCGGCAUGCCUUACACAUGCAAGUCGAACGGCAGCACGGGUGCUUGCACCUGGUGGCAAGUGGCGAACGGGUGAGUAAUACAUCGGAACGUACCUUAUCGUGGGGGAUAACGCAGCGAAAGCUGUGCUAAUACCGCAUACGCCCUGAGGGGGAAAGCGGGGGAUCGAAAGACCUCGCGCGAUUAGAGCGGCCGAUGCCUGAUUAGCUUGUUGGUAGGGUAAAAGCCACCAAGGCGACGAUCAGUAGCUGGUCUGAGAGGACGAUCAGCCACACUGGGACUGAGACACGGCCCAGACUCCUACGGGAGGCAGCAGUGGGGAAUUUUGGACAAUGGGGGAAACCCUGAUCCAGCAAUGCCGCGUGAGUGAAGAAGGCCUUC